AAGGAUCAUUAUCGAAUAAACUUGAACAGGCUGUUGCUGGUCCCAGGACAAUGUGCACGCUUGUCAUCUUUAUCAUUUCUCCCAACUGUGCACAUAUUGUAGACCCUGGAUUUGUUCCGAGUGGGGACUGCUGUGCUUCAAAAGAAGUCGGCUUUCCCCUUGAAGGUCUAUGUCGUUUUUCACAACCUCUUGAAUAUGUUUAGAAUGUUGAAAUAAAGAAAAGUUAAUAAAAUACAACUUUCAGCAACGGAUCUCUUGGCUCUCGCAUCGAUGAAGAACGCAGCGAAAUGCGAUAAGUAAUGUGAAUUGCAGAAUUCAGUGAAUCAUCGAAUCUUUGAACGCAUCUUGCGCUCCUUGGUAUUCCGAGGAGCAUGCCUGUUUGAGUGUCAUUUAAACUCUCAAACCACAUCAUUUGUUUGACGUGGCUUUGGACGUGGGGGUUGCCGGCUUUCUUCUCAGAGAGGCCUGCUCCUCUGAAAUGCAUUAGUGGUAUCUGAAGUGGAAAACCGCUAGGUGUGAUAAUACUGUCUAUGCCUUUGGUUUAUGCCGCAUGUGCUGCUUCCAACCGUACAUUUUUUGUGCUUUUGACAAACUUGACCUCAAAUCAGGUAGGACUACCCGCUGAACUUAAGCAUAUCAAUAAGCGGAGGAAAAGAAACUAACAAGGAUUCCCCUAGUAACUGCGAGUGAAGCGGGAAGAGCUCAAAUUUGAAAUCUGGCGGUCCUUGGCCGUCCGAGUUGUAAUCUAGAGAA
rnacentral:rRNA from 1 species